rnacentral:rRNA from 1 species
AGAGUUUGAUCCUGGCUCAGGACGAACGCUGGCGGCGUGCCUAACACAUGCAAGUCGAACGGAACUUUUUUAAAAGAUUUCUUCGGAAUGAUUUUGAUUAAGUUUAGUGGCGGACGGGUGAGUAACGCGUGAGUAACCUGCCUCUAAGAGGGGAAUAACAUUCUGAAAAGAAUGCUAAUACCGCAUAACAUAUAUUUAUCGCAUGGUAGAUAUAUCAAAGAUUUAUCGCUUAGAGAUGGACUCGCGUCCGAUUAGUUAGUUGGUGAGGUAACGGCUCACCAAGACUGCGAUCGGUAGCCGGACUGAGAGGUUGAACGGCCACAUUGGGACUGAGACACGGCCCAGACUCCUACGGGAGGCAGCAGUGGGGGAUAUUGCGCAAUGGGGGAAACCCUGACGCAGCAACGCCGCGUGAAGGAUGAAGGUCUUCGGAUUGUAAACUUCUUUUAUUAAGGACGAAGAAAGUGACGGUACUUAAUGAAUAAGCUCCGGCUAACUACGUGCCAGCAGCCGCGGUAAUACGUAGGGAGCAAGCGUUGUCCGGAUUUACUGGGUGUAAAGGGUGCGUAGGCGGCUUUGCAAGUCAGAUGUGAAAUCUAUGGGCUCAACCCAUAGCCUGCAUUUGAAACUGCAGAGCUUGAGUGAAGUAGAGGCAGGCGGAAUUCCCCGUGUAGCGGUGAAAUGCGUAGAGAUGGGGAGGAACACCAGUGGCGAAGGCGGCCUGCUGGGCUUUAACUGACGCUGAGGCACGAAAGCGUGGGUAGCAAACAGGAUUAGAUACCCUGGUAGUCCACGCUGUAAACGAUGAUUACUAGGUGUGGGGGGUCUGACCCCUUCCGUGCCGGAGUUAACACAAUAAGUAAUCCACCUGGGGAGUACGGC